CAUGCUAAAUAAAUAUACAGUGUACAGUGCAUGAACAACAAAAUGUGAAUAUACUGUCCUACGCUACGGCUCGGUCCUGGCUAUACAGCGAACUCCCAAAAGACAAUGCUGGACGUCCGUAUAAUUUGCUGAAUCAAUUUGGUCCUCGCUAGAAAACAGGUUCGCAUCAACGUAAAUAAAAACAGGUUAGCAUGCGUUCGCUAUCAUUAGCACAUCAUUCAAACAACCACACAACUGGCUCUAAGUGUCCGAUCGCGGGUGGAAAACACACAACAACAACAGAAAAGAUGAUACACGCAGGCGUUGCCUCUGUAGAGAUGAUUUAAAAGCAUAAACAAUGAAAGUAGGUUCGCAGCUGUCUAUUCUCUCUCGCUGUAACUCGCCCACUCACUCACUCAGAACUACGUAGCUGUCCGUCUUCUUCUGGCGUGUGAGCACUCUUCUCCACAUAAACAAGUGCGAGUGCGCCCUCACGUGGGCGUGAAAGCGCCACAAACUAAAUGCAUCCAUUUCAAGAUAAAAAAGUCAAUAAUACAAUUGAACAUACACUGCCAAAGUCAGAACGCGAACGUGGCCAUAGCUAUAAAGAGUUAUUCAGAUAACUAUAGCAUAAGAACAUGCUAACAACUUUACAAAACCAUCAGUGUCACUGCAAAACACCAAAAUAACAUGUGAAAUUAUAUCAUAAUGUGUUAAUAAUUCCACACAUAAGUCGCUCCUGAGUAUAAGUCGCACCCCCAGCCAAAAUAUGAAAAAAAAAACGCGACUUAUAGUCCGAAAAAUACGGUAUAUACUUCUGUAAUUCUUUCAGCUGCUGGAAAAACCCUGCUGUUUGAGGGUGAAAAAGAUCACCUGGUUCCUUCAGCAUCUCAAAUCUAUAUUGAUAGUGACCUUUUUAUGGUUGCUGGGCAAAUAAUUGGCCAUUCAUUCCUACACAACGGUCCUUGUUUAAAUGGACUAAGUAAAGCUGUUGUACAUGUGUUGGGUGGUGGAAUGCCUGAAAUGGCCUCUAUUGAUAUCACAGACUGCUGUGAUGUCGAUGUCAGGGAGGCAUUUGAACUGGUAAAGACAUUUUAACAAAGAAAUUAUAUAUUGCUUUGCAGUCACUGUUUUCUGAGGUAUUUACUUUAUUGUCAACAGUUGAAAGGGUCUACUGAGCUGACAGCAGAUCAGAAGCGGUCCAUACAGAGCGUGACAACAGGAUGGGAUCUUCCUGUUGCCACUGAAGAAAACAGGAGAUGGCUGACUGAGAAAAUUCUUUUUCAUGCUGUACUUUCCAGGUCAAAAACUCAAAUAAAACAGCUACGAAAAGGACUCAAAGCAACAGGUGUUUUGGAUCUGGUAACACAAAGACCAGACACAAUGCAGUUGUUGUUUCCAAGAAGCUGUGCUGAGUUGCACUCACCACAACUAGCUACAUCUGGAACGCAUAAUUUGGCCAGCGGAGUCAGACAGUGAUGACGACACUGAUGACCCGAGUUUGGAUGAAAAGUGCCGCAUCACUGGAUAUCUGAGAAAAUACAUCGAAAAUG